rnacentral:rRNA from 1 species
UACGGGGGGGGCAAGCGUUGUUCGGAAUUACUGGGCGUAAAGGGCUCGUAGGUGGCCAACUAAGUCAGACGUGAAAUCCCUCAGCUUAACUGGGGAACUGCGUCUGAUACUGGAUGGCUUGAGUUUGGGAGAGGGAUGCGGAAUUCCAGGUGUAGCGGUGAAAUGCGUAGAUAUCAGGAGGAACACCCGUGGCGAAGGCGGCUCUCUGGGUCCGCCCUGACGCUGAGGCGCGAAAGCGUGGGGAGCGAACGGG